rnacentral:rRNA from 1 species
UACGGGGGGGGCAAGCGUUGUUCGGAAUUACUGGGCGUAAAGGGCCAGUAGGCGGCCAACUAAGUCGGAUGUGAAAUCCCCAGGCUUAACCUGGGAACUGCAUCCGAUACUGGAUGGCUUGAAUUCGGGAGAGGGAUGCAGAAUUCCAGGUGUAGCGGUGAAAUGCGCAGAUAUCAGGAGGAACACCAAUGGCGAAGGCAGCUCGCUGGGACGUGACUGACGCUGAGACGCGAAAGCGUGGGGAGCAAACAGG